rnacentral:sRNA from 1 species
AACCAUGCGUGAGUGCAUCUCCAUCCACGUUGGCCAGGCUGGUGUCCAGAUUGGCAAUGCCUGCUGGGAGCUCUACUGCCUGGAACACGGCAUCCAGCCCGAUGGCCAGAUGCCAAGUGACAAGACCAUUGGGGGAGGAGAUGAUUCCUUCAACACCUUCUUCAGUGAGACGGGCGCUGGCAAGCAUGUGCCCCGGGCUGUGUUUGUAGACUUGGAACCCACAGUCAUUGAUGAAGUUCGCACCGGCACCUACCGCCAGCUCUUCCACCCUGAGCAGCUCAUCACAGGCAAGGAAGAUGCUGCCAAUAACUAUGCCCGAGGGCACUACACCAUUGGCAAGGAGAUCAUUGACCUCGUGUUGGACCGAAUUCGCAAGCUGGUAUGUUUCUUUUCAAGAAUAAAGUAAAUUAAUGAGCCUAAAGAACACAUUUGAAAUACUGCUUUUUUUUUUCCAAACACAGAAUUGAACUGUUAUUUUAAUAAAGAGUGGAAUGAGUCAUUCUUUGGAGGUUUUUUAAAUUCAGUUAAAAUGAACUAUUUGGUGUCAUUUUGUAAAUGUUAAUGAGAAUUUUUUUAAAAGCAUUUGUCAAAAUAAGAUCUAAGUCCUGGAAGAUGUAUGAAAAGUGAAAAUAUAUUUACUAUGAUUGUACUACAAAAAUAAAAACUUAACCUUU